ACUGACAGACACAGAAAGCUUCUUCGCCCUGCUGAGAGUGGGGCUCUGGAAGCUUAGGGAAGCUCACAGGUACUCCCCAGGAAAAACGGAAACUGAUCUACCCAGCCUGACAGCUGAACCUAAGAAGGAAUCAGGCAGAUGAGGAGGGAGGAAGGGCAUGUAAGAUGGAGGCAAAGGAGACAUGAGUGAUGAAAUCUACUUUUCCUCCCCACCCUCAGAGCUCAAUGUUGUGGACCCAGCAAAUGCCCAUGAGAUUCUUCAGAAGUGAAAAUGAAUUCUGCUGUCUGUCCAUCUGUCUCUCAGGUAGUCCCCAGAGCUAUAGUUCUCAUCUCUGAUCCCCUACCUGAAUGGGAAAUAUAAUAGAACUG
ensembl:lncRNA